UACGGAGGGUGCAAGCGUUAAUCGGAAUCACUGGGCUUAAAGGGUCCGCAGGCGGACAGGCAAGUAUCUUGUGAAAUACCACGGCUCAACCGUGGAAUUGCUCGGUAAACUGCCUGUCUUGAACACGGUAGGGGCCAUCGGAACUCUAGGUGGAGCGGUGAAAUGCGUAGAUAUCUAGAGGAACGCCAGAGGCGAAGGCGGAUGGCUGGGCCGUUGUUGACGCUCAGGGACGAAAGCGUGGGUAGCGAACGGG
rnacentral:misc_RNA from 1 species